rnacentral:rRNA from 1 species
AUUGAACGCUGGCGGCAUGCUUUACACAUGCAAGUCGAACGGUAACAGGCCUUCGGGUGCUGACGAGUGGCGAACGGGUGAGUAAUGCAUCGGAACGUACCCAGAGGUGGGGGAUAACGCAGCGAAAGCUGUGCUAAUACUGCAUGUGAUCUGAGGAUGAAAGCGGGGGACCGAGCAGCAAUGUUUGGCCUCGCGCCUUUGGAGCGGCCGAUGUCGGAUUAGCUAGUUGGUGGGGUAAAGGCCGACCAAGGCGACGAUCCGUAGCUGGUCUGAGAGGACGACCAGCCACACUGGGACUGAGACACGGCCCAGACUCCUACGGGAGGCAGCAGUGGGGAAUUUUGGACAAUGGGCGCAAGCCUGAUCCAGCAAUGCCGCGUGCGGGAAGAAGGCCCUCGGGUUGUAAACCGCUUUUGGCAGGAACGAAACGGUGUCCGCUAAUACCGGGCGCUAAUGACGGUACCUGCAGAAUAAGCACCGGCUAACUACGUG